rnacentral:rRNA from 1 species
GGAAUAUUGGGCAAUGGACGCAAGUCUGACCCAGCCAUGCCGCGUGAAGGAUGAAGGCGUUCUGCGUUGUAAACUUCUUUUAUCUGGGAAGAAAAAUACGGUUUCUACCGUACCCGACGGUACCAGAUGAAUAAGCACAGUCUAACUCCGCGCCAGCAGCCGCGGUAAUACGGAGGGUGCAAGCGUUAUCCGGAUUCACUGGGUUUAAAGGGUGUGUAGGCGGAUAUUUAAAUCAGUGGUGAAAUCUCAGGGCUCAACCCUGAAACUGCCAGUGAUACUAUUUAUCUUGAAUUCUGUUGAGGUGGGCGGAAUACAUCAUGUAGCGGUGAAAUGCUUAGAUAUGAUGUAGAACACCGAUUGCGAAGGCAGCUCACUAAACAGCGAUUGACGCUGAGGCACGAAAGCGUGGGGAUCAAAC